CCUACGGGAGGCAGCAGUGAGGAAUAUUGGUCAAUGGACGAGAGUCUGAACCAGCCAAGUAGCGUGAAGGAUGACUGCCCUAUGGGUUGUAAACUUCUUUUAUAUGGGAAUAAAACGUUCCACGUGUGGGAUUUUGUAUGUACCAUAUGAAUAAGGAUCGGCUAACUCCGUGCCAGCAGCCGCGGUAAUACGGAGGAUCCGAGCGUUAUCCGGAUUUAUUGGGUUUAAAGGGAGCGUAGGUGGAUUGUUAAGUCAGUUGUGAAAGUUUGCGGCUCAACCGUAAAAUUGCAGUUGAAACUGGCAGUCUUGAGUACAGUAGAGGUGGGCGGAAUUCGUGGUGUAGCGGUGAAAUGCUUAGAUAUCACGAAGAACUCCGAUUGCGAAGGCAGUUCACUGGACUGCAACUGACACGGAGGCUCGAAAGUGUGGGUAUCAAACAGGAUUAGAUACCCUAGUAGUC
rnacentral:rRNA from 1 species